rnacentral:RNase_P_RNA from 1 species
UCUGCAAGCCGGGCUAUCGCUCCGCAUUUCGUUGGUGAGGAAAGUCCGGACAGCACAGAGCAGCGUACCACCUAACAGAUGGUCCUAUUCGCAGGGAUAGGAAGCAAGUGCCACAGAAAAUAACCGUCUCGAGAAUCAAACGGGAUAAGGGUGAAAAUGUGAGGUAAGAGCUCACAGGUUAAUUUGGUAACAGAUUGAUCGGGUAAACCUUACGUGCUGAAAUGUCAAAUAAGUGAACGCCUGAAGGUUGCUCGCCUGAUGUUCAUGGGUAGAUAGAUCGAUCGUGUCGGCAACGGCAUGGCCAGAUAAAUGAUAGCCACUUCAUAUCGAAGAAAACAGAAUCCGGCUUACAGGCUUGCAGAUUUU